rnacentral:rRNA from 1 species
UUAUUGAGAGUUUGAUCCUGGCUCAGGACGAACGCUGGCGGCGUGCCUAAUACAUGCAAGUCGAACGCUUUGAUUUUCACCGGAGCUUGCUCCACCGAAAAUCAAAGAGUGGCGGACGGGUGAGUAACACGUGGGCAACCUGCCCAACAGAGGGGGAUAACACUUGGAAACAGGUGCUAAUACCGCAUAAUUUGUUUUCCCGCAUGGGAGAAUAAUAAAAGACGCUUCGGUGUCACUGUUGGAUGGGCCCGCGCUGCAUUAGUUAGUUGGUGGGGUAACGGCCUACCAAGACCAUGAUGCAUAGCCGACCUGAGAGGGUGAUCGGCCACACUGGGACUGAGACACGGCCCAGACU